CUCUGUGACUCCUACGGGAGGCAGCAGUGGGGAAUAUUGCACAAUGGGCGCAAGCCUGAUGCAGCCAUGCCGCGUGUGUGAAGAAGGCCUUCGGGUUGUAAAGCACUUUCAGUUGUGAGGAAGGUGGUGUCGUUAAUAGCGGCAUCAUUUGACGUUAGCAACAGAAGAAGCACCGGCUAACUCCGUGCCAGCAGCCGCGGUAAUACGGAGGGUGCGAGCGUUAAUCGGAAUUACUGGGCGUAAAGCGCAUGCAGGUGGUUUGUUAAGUCAGAUGUGAAAGCCCGGGGCUCAACCUCGGAACUGCAUUUGAAACUGGCAGACUAGAGUACUGUAGAGGGGGUAGAAUUUCAGGUGUAGCGGUGAAAAUGCGUAGAGAUCUGAAGGAAUACCGGUGGCGAAGGCGGCCCCCCUGGACAGAUACUGACACUCAGAUGCGAAAGCGUGGGGAGCAAACAGGUUUAGAUACCCUGGUAG
rnacentral:rRNA from 1 species